CCGUUUUUGUUCUUGCUAAAUACAAGAUGGCACAGACUGGUGGGGCGGGACUGAAGUGGUGACCGGAAACUGAUGUGUUCUAUUUCCGGUGAGGUUUCCGCUUCACAAAUAAAAGGGGACUCCAUACAUCUUUAGCGCAGCAGUGAAUAGAAACUCUGUAUUCUGAAGAUGUUCAGUGUUGGUGAUGAAAAUGUUGAACUGAAAACGAGAAAAGGACAAACAUCAGCAAUCAGCUGCGUACUGUUAUUAAAUAAAUCAGUAUAGUAAUCCAUUUCUAUUUUCUUGAAUUAACUGUUGACAGUUGAAAUGUAGCA